AAGCGGGUGCGAAUCCCGUCCGGGUAACUCUUAGCCUGAGGCCCGGUAUCGAGUGUUGCAGCGUCACUGGUAACAGUUGCGUUGAAGCGUACACAGAAAGGUAGUGAGGACGAAUGGACUGGGCUGGCCGCCCAAACCGUGA
rnacentral:ncRNA from 1 species